rnacentral:lncRNA from 1 species
CUCCUGUAGCCCCCCACCCCCUGACAGGCCCCGGUGUGUGAUGUUCCCCUCUUUCUGCCCAUGUGUUCUCAUUGUUCAACUCCCACUUAUGAGUGAGAACAUGUGGUGUUUGGUUUUAUGUUCCUGUGUUAGUUUGCUGAGAAUGAUGGUUUCCAGAUUCAUCCAUGUCCCUGCAAAGGACAUGAACUCAUUCUUUUUUAUGGCUGCGUAGUAUUCCAUGGUGCAUAUGUGCCACAUUUUCUUUAUCCAGUCUAUCAUUGAUGGGCAUUUGGGUUGGUUCCAAGUCUUUGCUAUUGUGAAUAUUGCUGCAAUAAACAUACGUGUGCAUGUGUCUUUAUAGUAGAAUGAUUUAUAAUCCUUUGGGUAUACACCCAGCAAUGGGAUGGCUGGGUCAAAUGGUAUUUCUGGUUCUAGAUCCUUGAGGAAUAAUCAAAACCACAAUUAGAUACCAUCUCACGCCAGUUAAAUUAGUCCUCUUUAUAUUUUAAGAAAACAUUUGUUUUGCCCUGUGAGUGUUGUUGGAUUGCACAUAUUCAGAUUAUCAUGAGAUAUUCCCAUCUGCUGUAGUAAACGUGGAAAUUUUGAAGGUGUCUGACAAUAGUUUUGGUCCUGGAGUACUAAAAGUAUCCAGAUAGAGUUCAUGUUUUCCAUAGUGAUAAAUGCAACCAAAGCUAUUAGCAAGUUGUACUGCUAGAACAUGUUACGUGUUUUUUACACAUAUGUCAUAAUAUGUUUUUCAGAUUCCUGGAAGAAAUCCCAAUGAACAGGGGUCAUUAUCAGGCCACAUUUCUGGUAUCUGUGGUAAGUAAUGAUGUUCACUUUAACCCCAUCACAGACCAUUUGAUCUUCAUAUAUCUAGGUAAGUGAUGUCUGUUUACGUGAACUGUUUAUCAUGUGCUUUUAUAACAGUGAUUUUUGUAAGUAAUGACAGUAUUUCUAGUUCUAGUGACCAUGUUAUAUUGUUUUUAAUUUAGAGAAAACUUAUGGUUUACGCUGUGAGUAUCAAAUGAUUUGCGUGUACACAGAUAACAACGUGGUGUGCUUCAUAGUAGUAACUGUGGUAUCCUUGCAGAUAGGUAGUCAAGAAAAAAUGGUGUGUCCUUCAAGGUUGUAGACCUUGGGAAUACUGCAAAAUUCCAUGUAGAUUUAUGUCUUCUGCAAUGAUGACAGCCAACAAGUUAUUUGCAGGGUUCUGGUGGAAGAGUUGUGUCCACAGACACAUUUGUCAUAAUGUGGUUUCAGGUUCCUCUCAAGGGGUCAUGGGAAACCUCAUCAUGAUCAACAAUGGGACAUUGCUGGUAUCCAAGCCAAUUAUGAUGUGGGCCUUAAACACCCUACAAAAAUGUGAUCUACAGAAAUGUAGGUAACUGUAGAUGGUUUUCCUAAUUUUUGUGUUGCCAUAUUUUGUGCAGGUAUUUAGUUAAGGAAUUAUAUUUUCCCAACCAACGCAGGUAAGCAUCAGUCAUUAUUUUAGAGUUUAGUUAUAAUGUGUUUAGUCUUAUAGUGAGGGAGGGAUAUGCAGGUAUCCAGGUAAGUUUUCCUACUGUUUCCCACCACGUUAUUGACCAUGAGACUUCAACAUCAUCAAGAGAUGAUGGUGCCACUACAUUGUUGACAUUGAAGUCAUGGCAAAUCCAAGUAGUGUUGAAGGUUCCCUGCUGAUGGAAGUGCCCAGAAUUAUUUGUGUCUUGUCUUUUUUUAUGUAAAACAAAUUGUUUCCUUAAACACACUUGAGCAAUGUGUUUUUUAGUUUUCUGUAAUGAGCUCACAAUCAAGCUUAACAAUAGUCAUUAAUGGAACCGUGCUGUAACCUGCUAAUUGAGAAAGUGUGUUUCCCACAAUCAGACCAUUAGAUCUUUAUAUUUCCAUGUAAGUGAGGAUGGUGUCCUUAACACUUGUCUACCAUGUAUUCCUGCAGGUAUCCUGUUAAGUUCUUUCCUAGUAUACAGGUAGAAGAUUAUGUGAUAUUAACACAUUAGCAACCUUCCUAUUUUCAGAUAUGUAGGUGAUUAAUGAUUUUUUUGAGACUCUUCUUGUAACCUUGUGUUUGUCAUGCAUGCAGUUAAGAAAUUACUUUUUCCCUAACAUUACUAGUAAGAGUGAGAUUUUACUGUGUUCUUGUUUAGACAUAAUGUGUAUUUAUCAAUUGUAGUGAUAUAUGGAUAUGCGAGUAUCCAGGUAAUUUAUCAUAUUGUCCAUCACUGUAAUGCUGAGAUUUUUGUAGGUAUCACUUCAAGAGAGGAAAGUUUCUCUUACGAGUGUUUUCCCUUGGCAUUAUGCAAGCAUCCAGUUACCUUUGAUAGGCCCUGAAAUGAUGAAAGAGACGAAGGGAAUUUGCAGGUGUACAGGUAGAAUGAGACAUUUAGGAAACACAUUUUCAACAGUAUAUUUUUUAGGUUCAUUUGAAGAGGUCACAGUGAGCCUAUCAGUAAUAGUUAACAGGGGUCAUUGCUCGUAUGGAUGUGCAUGAUAAUGUGGGCCUAAAACACAGCCCAGCCCAUCUGAUCUUCCCUUAUAUAGGUAAGUGGUGGUGUCCCUAACACUUCUGUUACUAUGAUUUUGUUGUAGCUGUUCAAGUAAGAAAUGAUAGAGCUCUUACCAAUUUAAAAAAACAUUAUUUUUCUCACUUUUUAUAUUUUAGAAUAACUUUAUGAUUAACCUCUGAGUUUUGAGUGAUAGUGCCUAUCCUGGUUAUUGGUGUUUCUUACCACAGCAGUAACCAGGGGAUUUUUACAGGUGUCCUGUCAAGAAAUGACCGUCUUACCUGACAGUGGUAUUGAUCUUGCAUUAUUACAAGUAUCCAGGUAGAGUUUAUGUGUUCUGUAAUGAUGGAGUGACGAAGGUUAUUUUCAGAUGUCUUGGUGGAAAUGUUUGUGUCCUUUAACACAUAUUUCACAAUGUGUAUUUCAGGUUUCUGUAGUGAGACCCUGAUAAACCUAACAAUGGUUGGUAUGGCAGACAUUUCUGGUAUGCAGGCAAGUGAUGAUGUGUUCUUUAACCACAUCAUAGACCAUCAGAUCUUCUUAUAUCUUUUUUUUUUUUUUUUUUGACAGAGUCUCGCUUUGUCACCCAGGCUGGAGUGCAGUGGGGUGAUCUCGGCUCACUGCAGCCUCCACCUCCCAGGUUCAAGCGAUUCUCGUGCCUCUGCAUCCUGAAUAGCUGGGAUUACAGGUGUGCACCACCACAUCCUGCUGAUUUUUGUAUUUUGAGAGAUGGGGUUUUGGCACGUUGGCCAAGCUGGUCUCGAACUCCUGGCUUCAAGCAGUCCACCCACCUUGGCCUCCCAAAGUGCUGGAAUUACAGGCGUGCACCACCACGCCCGGCCAGAUCUUCAUAUAUCUAAGAUCCUGUCAAGAAGACAUGGUAAACCUCAUCAUGAUCAAGAAUGAGACUUUGCUUGCAUCCAGGCAUUCAGUUAAGAAAUGAUGUUUUCCCAACCAAGGCUAGCUUCCCAAAAGUUGUUUGAUAGUAUACAGGCAUGAGAUGGUGUGACUCUAACUCAUUAGAUGCCUUCGUCUUUUCAGUCAUCAUGUGAUGGAAAGAAAGCUAUCAACUUCAUUCCUGAGACUUCCUGCAACACAGCUUAGUAUGUCUAGCAUGGGCAUGCCUGCUGAAGUUUGGAACUUCCCAUCAAGGAAACAGGAAAAUGCCAUUGGCAAUGAGCUGAAGACUGAUUUACUCUACCAGUUUGGAACAUCUGUUAUUGCUGCUACUACGGUUUCUAUCACUGUUUGAUGCUGGGACUCUUAAGCUCCAACCACGUUUUCACCGAGCUGAGUCGCCUUCUUAUCACCCCUUUCUGGAGCAGCAGGACAUCUGGGGAUGAGAAGAUGGAGAGAUCAUCCUUAUAUAAUGUUGCAGUCUGGAAGCAUCACUCUCAAAAAGCCAUUGUAGAGAAUCCAAGCCGAGUUUAAGAGUGCUGUGGAAAUACACUGCUGCUACUGCUGUUUCUAUUACUGUUUGAUGCUGGGACUCUUAUGCUCCAACCACGUUUUCACCCAGCUGAGUCGCCUUCGUAUCACGCCUUUCCAGUUUUGAUAGACUAGAAAAAUGACAAGACUCCAAGUCCUUGAAGAGGAGGAAAAGUGUGAAGAAAACAAAAAAGGGAGAUUUAUGUCUGCUUCACCAUUUUGCCCAAGACUUGACCUGUCAUACACUGAAGCUCAGAGAGGAAGAAAGGACCGUGUGAGAGAAGAAGGGAACAGCCUUUCAUCCAUAGGAGAAGUUCGUCUAUGACAAAGCCACUAGCUCCAUGUGGCCGCUGAGCACUCAAAAUGUGGCCAGUCUGAAUUGAGAUAUGUUGUUAGUAUAAAGUCCACAUCGGCUUUUUGAGCACUUUGUAUGAGAAAAAAGAAUACCAAAUAUCUCCUUAAUAAUUGUUACAUUGAUUAUAUGUUGAACUGAUAACAUUAUGGAUAUAUUGGAUUAAAUAAAAUAAAUUAUUAAAAUCAAAUAAAAAAUAAAAUCAAUUUCACCUGUUU